rnacentral:tRNA from 1 species
UGGGAGGUGGCAGAGUGGGUAAUGCACUAGACUUUCAAGCAUGAGGUCCUGAGUUCAAUCCCCAGCAGCACAU